GUGGGGAAUCUUAGACAAUGGGGGAAACCCUGAUCUAGCCAUGCCGCGUGAGCGAUGAAGGCCUUAGGGUUGUAAAGCUCUUUCAGCUGGGAAGAUAAUGACGGUACCAGCAGAAGAAGCCCCGGCUAACUCCGUGCCAGCAGCCGCGGUAAUACGGAGGGGGCUAGCGUUGUUCGGAAUUACUGGGCGUAAAGCGCGCGUAGGCGGACCAGAAAGUUGGAGGUGAAAUCCCAGGGCUCAACCUUGGAACUGCCUUCAAAACUCCUGGUCUGGAGUUCGAGAGAGGUGAGUGGAAUGCCGAGUGUAGAGGUGGAAUUCGUAGAUAUUCGGAGGAACACCAGUGGCGAAGGCGGCUCACUGGCUCGAUACUGACGCUGAGGUGCGAAAGCGUGGGGAGCAAACAGGAUUAGAAACCCUAGUAGUCC
rnacentral:rRNA from 1 species